AUUGAACGCUGGCGGCAGGCCUAACACAUGCAAGUCGAACGAGUGGCGGACGGGUGAGUAAUGUCUGGGAAACUGCCUGAUGGAGGGGGAUAACUACUGGAAACGGUAGCUAAUACCGCAUACCAUCGGAUGUGCCCAGAUGGGAUUAGCUAGUAGGUGGGGUAAAGGCUCACCUAGGCGACGAUCCCUAGCUGGUCUGAGAGGAUGACCAUGCACAAGGGAACGGAGACACGGGCCAGACGCCUAAGGGAGGCAGCAGUGGGGAAUAGUGCACAAUGGGAGGAAGCCUGAUGCAGCCAUGCCGCGUGUAUGAAGAAGGCCUUCGGGUUGUAAAGGACUUUCAGCGGGGAGGCGUUACCCGCAGAAGAAGCACCGGCUAACUACGUGCCAGCAGCCGCGGUAAUAC
rnacentral:rRNA from 1 species